AGAAAUGGUAUCGUAAGUCUGCACGUACCCAAAUCAUACUGCUUCUCUCUUAUUUUUUUCCUUUUUUUUUUGACGUUCAUUAUUUCUCUUUUGAUUAUUGGUGGAA
rnacentral:ribozyme from 1 species